GGCUCAAGGCGUCGUGCGCAUUUGA
rnacentral:ribozyme from 1 species